UACGGGGGGGGCAAGCGUUGUUCGGAAUUACUGGGCGUAAAGGGCUCGUAGGUGGCCAACUAAGUCAGACGUGAAAUCCCUCGGCUUAACCGGGGAACUGCGUCUGAUACUGGAUGGCUUGAGUUCGGGAGAGGGAUGCGGAAUUCCAGGUGUAGCGGUGAAAUGCGCAGAUAUCAGGAGGAACACCGAUGGCGAAGGCAGUGUUCUGGGCCAGUACUGACGCUGAGGAGCGAAAGCGUGGGGAGCAAACAGG
rnacentral:rRNA from 1 species